rnacentral:rRNA from 1 species
UACGAAGGGGGCUAGCGUUGCUCGGAAUCACUGGGCGUAAAGCGCACGUAGGCGGAUUGCUAAGUCAGGGGUGAAAUCCUGGAGCUCAACUCCAGAACUGCCUUUGAUACUGGCGAUCUUGAGUCCGGGAGAGGUGAGUGGAACUGCGAGUGUAGAGGUGAAAUUCGUAGAUAUUCGCAAGAACACCAGUGGCGAAGGCGGCUCACUGGUCCGGUUCUGACGCUGAGGCGCGAAAGCGUGGGGAGCAAACAGG